rnacentral:rRNA from 1 species
GGAAUCUUCCACAAUGGGCGAAAGCCUGAUGGAGCAACGCCGCGUGUGUGAUGAAGGGUUUCGGCUCGUAAAACACUAUUGUAAGAGAAGAAUGACAUUGAGAGUAACUGUUCAAUGUGUGACGGUAUCUUACCAGAAAGGAACGGCUAAAUACGUGCCAG